AAAAUAAAAUUAUAUAAAUCACAAAAAGCAUACCAAACAACACUUUUUAAAAAUGGGAAAACAGUUUCCAAAACUAUGACAGAUCACAAGUGGAAACAUUAACAUAUCAAGAAUUUCUACAAAUAGGGAAAAGGAAAUGAAUAGACAUCUUACAGGGGAAAGCUGUAUAAUACAAAAUAUUUUUUAAGAACUUCUGUAAUGAACUAGGGGUGGUAGAAGGGGAGGAGGGAGAGGGGUGGGGGUGAAUGGGUGAUGCUGGCCUCAUUGAAGGAGUUUGGAAGUACUCCAUCUCUUUCUAUCUUUCUGAACAGCUUACUAGAUAGGUAUGGUUUCUUCUUUAAACGUUUGAUAGAAUUUCCCUGGAAGGCAUCUGGCCCUGGACUUUUGUGUCUUGGGAAGUUUUUGAUGACUGCUUCAAUUUGUUCCCCGGUUAUUGGCCUUUUCAGGUGUUCUAUUUCUUCCUGAUCCAGUUUUGGUAGUUUUUGGUUUUCUGGAAAUGUGUCCAUUUCUUCUAGAUUGCCUAAUUUAUUGGCGUAAAGCUGCUCAUAAUAAGUUUUUAAGAUCGUUUGUAUUUCCUUGGUAUUGGUGGUGAUCUCUCCUUUCUCAUUCAUGAUUUUAUUAAUUUGAGUCUUCUCUCCUUUCUCUUUAAUAAGGCUGGCUAAUGGUUUAUCUAUUGUAUUAAUUCUUUCAAAAGAACCAACUGCUGGUUUUGUUAAUCUGUUCCACAGUUUUUCUGGUCUCUAUUUCAUUGAGUUCUGAUCAAAUCUUUGUUAACUCUCUUCUUCUGCUGGAUGUAGGAUCUAUUUGCUGUUUUUUUCUCCAGCUCCUUUAGGUGCAAGGUUAGCUUUUGUAUUUGAGUUCUUUCCAGUUUUUGGAUGGAUGCUUGUAUUGCGAUGUAUUUCCCCCUCAGGACUGCUUUUGCUGUAUCCCAAAGAUUUUGAACAGUUGUACCUUCAUUCUUAUUAGUUUCCAUGAAUCUUUUUAAUUCUUCCCUAAUUUCCUGGUUGACCCUUUCAUCUUUUAGCAGGAUGGUCCUUAACCUCCACGUGUUUGAAAUCCUUCCAAAUUUCUUCUUGUGAUUUAGUUCUAAUUCCAAAGCAUUGUGAUCUGAAAAUAUGCAGGGGACGAUCCCAAUCUUUUGGUAUCAGUUCACACCUGAUUUUGUGACCCAGUAUGUGGUCUAUUCUGCAGAAGGUUCCAUGUGCACUUGAGAAGAAUGUGUAUUCAGUUGUGUUUAGAUCUAAAGUUCUGUAAAUAUCUUGAAAUCCAUCUGAUCCAGUGUAUCAUUUACAGCUAUUGUUUCUUUGGAGAUGUUGUGUUUAGAAGGUCUGUCUAUUGUAGUAAGUGCUACAUGGAAGUCACCAAGUAUAAGUGUAUUAUUAUCGGGGAUCCCUAGGUGGCGCAGUGGUUUAGCGCCUGCCUUUGGCCCAGGGUGCGAUCCUGGAGACCUGGGAUCGAAUCCCACGUCGGGCUCCCUGCAUGGAGCCUGCUUCUCCCUCUGCCUGUGUCUCUGCCUGCCUUCUCUCUCUCUCUCUCUCUCUCUGUGACUAUCAUGAAUAAAUAAAAUUUAAAAAAAAAAGUGUAUUAUUAUCUAAGUAUGUCUUAACUUUGGUUAUUAAUUGAUUGGUAUACUUGGCAGCUCCCAAAUUUGGGCAUAAAUAUGCAUGAUUGUUAGGUCUUCUUGUCAGAUAGACCCUUUAAGUAUGAUAUAGUAUCCCUCUUCAUCUCUUAUUACAGUCUUUGGGAUAAACUUUAAUUUAUCUGAUAUAAGGAUAGCUACCCCUGCUUUCUUUGAGGACCAUUUGAAUGGUAAAUGGUUCUCCAACCUUUUAUUUUCAGGCUAUUGGUGUCCUUAGGUCUAAAAUGAGUCUCUUGUAGACAGCAAAUAGGUGGGUCUUGCUUCUGUAUCCAGUCGGAAACCCUGCCUGCGCCUUUUGAUGGGGUCAUUAAGCCCAUUCACGUUCAGAGUUACUAUUGAAAGAUAUGAAUUUAGUGUCAUCAUGAUACCUAUUCAGUCCCUGUUUUUGUGGAUUGUUUCCUUGGACUUCCUCUUUCUUUUACGGAGUCUCCCUUGAUAUUUCUUGCAGAGCUGGUUUGGUGGUUACAUAUUCUCUGUUUCUGCCUAUCUUGGAAGCUCUUUAUCUCUCCUUCUAUUCUGAAGGAGAGCCUUGCUGGAUAAAGUAUUCUUGGCUGCAUGUUCUUCUCAUUUAGGACCCUGAAUAUAUCCUGCCAGCCCUUUCUGGCCUGCCAAGUCUCUGUGGACAGGUCUGCUGUUAUCCUAAUGCUUCUCCCCAUAAAAGUUAGGGAUUUCUUGUCUCUUGCUGCUUUAAGGAUCUUCUCUUUAUCUUUGGAAUUUGCAAGUUUCACUAUUAAAUGUCUAGGUGUUGAACUGUUUUUAUUGAUUUUAGGGGGAAAAUCUCUCUAUCUCCUGGAUCUGAAUGCCUGUUUCCCUUCCCAAGUUAGGGAAGGUCUCAGCUAUGAUUUGUUCAAAUACAUGUUCUGUACCUCUGUCCCUUUCAGCGCCCUCAGGAACCCCAAUUAAAUGUAGAUUUUUCCUUCUGAGGCUGUCAUUUAUUUCCCUUAACCUAUCCUCAUGAUCUUUAAAUUAUUUUUCUCUUUUUUCCUCAGUUUCCCUCCUUGCCAUCAACUUGUGUUCUAUGUCACUCACUCGUUCUUCUACCUUAUUAACCCUCAUCGUUAGGACCUGCAGUUUGGAUUGCAUCUCAUUUAAUUGAUUUUUAAUUUCAAUCUGAUUAGAUCUGAAUUCUGCAGUCAUGAAGUCUCUUGAAUCCUUUAUACUUUUUUUCUAGAGCCACCAGUAGCUUUAUAAUUGUGCUUCUGAAUUGGCUUUCUGACACUGAAUGUAAUCCAAAUUUUGUAACUCUGUGGGAGAGUGGACUGUUUCUGAUUCUUUCUUUUGAGGUGAGUUUUUCCUUCUAGUCAUUUUGCUCAGUGCAGAGUAGCCAAAAACAGGUUGUACUGGAAAAAAGAGAAAAAGAGAG
rnacentral:lncRNA from 1 species